UUUUUGGUAGUUGAUGACAACAUACAUAUAGCUCUCAAAAAAUAAACAUAUGUAGCUUAGGAGAGAUUUGUUAUGGGCCCCCCUGAUUAUAUGCAUGGUAAAAUAAUUAUGGCCGGGAGGUCCCCCUUACUUGAUAAUGAGUGCAUCGAAGAUAUCAUAUGGAUUAAUAAAGUAGCACGAUAACACAUCAUCAUAUGACUCAAUAAAAUAGCAUGACAACACAUCAUAAUAGUUCAGCAUAACAUGAUAGCACAUCAUCCAUAAGUAGCAUUGCAUGAUAACACAUCAUAAUAGUUCAACAUACUCUAUCAUCCAUACAUUAAGGGUAACAAAUCGAAAGCUAAGAUAAUGUCCUCCCCCUUUGGC
rnacentral:lncRNA from 1 species